GGAGGGUGCGAGCGUUAAUCGGAAUUACUGGGCGUAAAGCGCAUGCAGGUGGUGUGUUAAGUCAGAUGUGAAAGCCCGGGGCUCAACCUCGGAAUAGCAUUUGAAACUGGCAGACUAGAGUACUGUAGAGGGGGGUAGAAUUUCAGGUGUAGCGGUGAAAUGCGUAGAGAUCUGAAGGAAUACCGGUGGCGAAGGCGGCCCCCUGGACAGAUACUGACACUCAGAUGCGAAAGCGUGGGGAGCAAACAGGAUUAGAUACCCUGGUAGUCCACGCCGUAAACGAUGUCUACUUGGAGGUUGUGGCCUUGAGCCGUGGCUUUCGGAGCUAACGCGUUAAGUAGACCGCCUGGGGAGUACGGUCGCAAG
rnacentral:rRNA from 2 species